rnacentral:rRNA from 1 species
UGGGGAAUAUUGCGCAAUGGGCGAAAGCCUGACGCAGCAACGCCGCGUGAGUGAUGAAGGCCUUCGGGUCGUAAAGCUCUGUCGGAGGGAACGAAUGCUCCUGAAGUUAACAGCCUCAGGAGGUGACGGUACCCUCAAAGGAAGCACCGGCUAACUCUGUGCCAGCAGCCGCGGUAAUACAGAGGGUGCAAGCGUUGUUCGGAAUCAUUGGGCGUAAAGGGCGUGUAGGCGGCAAUUCAAGUCAUCUGUGAAAUCUCCGGGCUUAACUCGGAACGGUCAGAUGAUACUGCUUUGCUAGAGUGCAGAAGGGGCAAUCGGAAUUCUUGGUGUAGCGGUGAAAUGCGUAGAUAUCAAGAGGAACACCUGAGGUGAAGACGGGUUGCUGGGCUGACACUGACGCUGAGGCGCGAAAGCCAGGGGAGCAAACGGGAUUAGAUACCCAGGUAGUCCCUGAGCGGGCUGGCAAGGCGCAU